rnacentral:rRNA from 1 species
AGUGAACGCUGGCGGUAGGCCUAACACAUGCAAGUCGAACGGCAGCACAGUAAGAGCUUGCUCUUACGGGUGGCGAGUGGCGGACGGGUGAGGCAUACAUCGGAAUCUACUUUUUCGUGGGGGAUAACGUAGGGAAACUUACGCUAAUACCGCAUACGUCCUACGGGUGAAAGCAGUGGAUCUUCGGACCUUUCGCGAUUGAAUGAGCCGAUGUCGGAUUAGCUAGUUGGCGGGGUAAAGGCCCACCAAGGCGACGAUCCGUAGCUGGUCUGAGAGGAUGAUCGGCCACACUGGAACUGAGACACGGUCCAGACUCCUACGGGAGGCAGCAGUAGGGAAUAUUGGGCAAAGGGCGAAAGCCUGAUCCAGCAAUGCCGCGUGGGUGAAGAAGGCCUUCGGGUUGUAAAGCCCUUUUGUUGGGAAAGAAAAGCAGCAGGUGAAUACCCGGCUGUUCUGACGGUACCCAAAGAAAAAGCACCGGCUAACUUCGUG